UGAUUUUCCAUGCAUGCAUAUUUAUGUCGCUGAUCAAAAUAAUACAGUUUUUAAAGUUUUCUUCAGAACUACCCGGCACUUUAACUGACAAUACAUUGCAAAAAAAACGAGAAUAUAUAUACAUAUAUAUUCACUGACUUGUACUAUUUGAUCUUUUCUAUGGAAUUUUUAAUAUCAUACACUAUAACAUAGUCUACUAUGUAUAAAAAAUUAUUGCCACCUGACGUAUAAUCAACUUGAAUGAUUCACUUGAAUGAAAUGAGAAAAAUUUUUAACUUCAAAAAGCUCAACAUAUUUACAUGUGAAUUGUUGUAAAAUUCUUUAAAACAAGAAUACUUUGAAAAUCCAGAAUUUUAGCUUUACAAAUGUACCUUUGAAGGAAUAAAAAAACUUUCUAGUUAUGCAAAUAAUUUCAUUUAAUAGAAAUUCAAAGAAAAAACUGGUGAAUCGAGCAACAGGAAUAAAAAAUGAAGAACACUAGCGAUGAAUAGAAAUGUUUAUGCCAAGCAAUUGCGGUAAAUUGAGUAAGAAAUUAUAAUGAUCGCUUCAAUUUAAAUAUUGAUCGACGAUAAUUAUUUAUGAACGAAUAAAACAAAAAAAUGGGGAAAUACUUACUGGUUGUGUCGAUUCCGUUGGCUAAUGGGCAUCUUUGUGUAACAGUGGACGAAGCUUUUAUCGGAGGCCAACAGAGAAUUGAAUCCCAAACCCAACUGCACCAAAUUUCUAAUAUUAAAUAAUUUUAUAUUAAUGUUUGAGACGAAAAAUGAUCCGUACAAAAUACUAAUUAAUUUGAAAAAAUGAAAAAAAUAUAAAAUAAAUCAUGAAGUUUAUGAACAUUCGUAAAUUUUAGAUUUUAUAAAAUUUUACCUCCAUCGGGAAUACUAAAGUUGUGAUGCUGAAGCCCGCAAAGUUCUUUUGUAUUGUUAUUAGCAUCCGAGAAAUCCGACAUCCUUUUUUAUUUUGGUUUAUUGUUUUUUCUAAUAAUUUUUUUAUUCGUAUUUUUUCUCACAUUUCAAACGUAUGAAU